AGAGACAGAAAUUCACUCUUUUAAUGUUCAAAAGCCAUAAACCCCCUUCACUUUCCUAAUCCUAAUUUCUUUCACCGCUAAAGCCUUCCACGAGAAGCACCUCCAUCCAUUACCGUUGGACCCAAUCUCCUCCUCCAAGAAGUCUUCAGAUUUUAUCAUGUUGGAGUAGCCGUGGACGUCGUGAAGCCAGAAUCCAUCAGUGUCGUCCAACUGUGUCCACCCGUCAAGCAGCUGCGUCGUGAGGUGCUACUAUCUUAUCGUCGAUAACCUUCCUCCCGCUGCCGUAUAAGUGAUACCCUUGGUGGUAUCCAGUUUAUUAAGAUGCUCAGGAUAGGACGUUACAUGAAGAAAUCAAAGUUAGACACAGCAUGUCAGCAACUUGUUUGCUGCAUCGGAGGCUCGGAAGUGCAAGGGACGCAAAACCACCGAAUUUUGGGAUGUUAAAACAAUUGAGUCUGAUGGGACAAUCAAGCAACUUCAUUUAAGUGUGAAGGAUGCUAUGAAGCCACCUAACGGUAGAAAGAUCGUACUCAGGUUCAACGAGAGACUGCAACCAGUUGGAAAUGAAGCUGGUAUUCUGAGCGGCGUUUUGGGAUUGCUUGGAUCUGAAUACACCAAAUUCUCAAUCUGUGAGAAGGACUAGAGAAAGGUUUGCUCUAGGGACAAGAUCUAUAAUGAAUAUGUAAAGGAAUUAUUCCAUUUUGAAGAAGAUAGUGGAGGAAUUAUCAAGCGUACAAUAUUAAAAAUGCUAGGAAGAGGUUGGAAGGACACGAGGAACAUGUUGUUUCAUGACUUUUACAAAUUAGAACUGACUCUUGAACAAAAUAUUAAAGGUCAUCCACUGGGAGUUACUGCGGAUCAUUGGAGAUGGUACCUUGAUAUCGCAACAAUGAAGAAACAAAGGAGAAGUGUAGGAAAAAUGCUGUGAAUCGAUCGAAGCAGUUAUACACUCACACUGGCAGAUCAAAAAGCUUGGCAAGGCUCGAAGAAGAACAGGUAAUUUAUGAUUGAGUCACUUUUUGAACCUUCUCUAUGUAUACCUAUUCACUAUUUAAGCUAUAUUGUUGCAAUCGGAACGACAAUGGCGUCUAGUUGGUAGAGGAGAGUUGUUUGUCUUAACGCACAAAUGAUCUAAUGGCUCCUAUCUCUAUGAUGUAGCUCGGGCUAUUGGUGAAAGAAUUACGGAGAUUGAGCAACAUGAUGAAUCACCUAGACUGUUGUCUCAGGAUGAUUCUCUUGCUCAAGCUCUUGAAAAGAAGCACCAGGAUAGUGUGUGUUGCAUGGGUAUCAGACUGACUACUAGUCAAGUGUUCGGUACGAAUUCACAUCAGCCGAGCAUUGGAACUCAAAGGAAGGAGACCCAAAUGGUGUUGCUUGAACUACAAGGAGAGUUGGCGGCUGAGAAAUUAAAAUGGCAGGAAAUGGAGGAUGAAGUAGCAGCCGAGAAGACGAAAGGGCAGGCAAUAGAGAGUGCUCUAAAAUAUUUAGUUCAAGGGCAAGGUGGGGAGCUGCCACCAGAUGUGGCUGCAUGGAUGAAUUCAUUUGAAGGACAGAGUAGAAAGUAGAACCUAGGAUUUGAAAUUUAUUCUUUAAGUUAAAUAUAUACUUUUUUAUUGUUGACUAUAAAACUCUUAGUAAGGAAUACACUUUAUUGAUAUUUGGAUUAAUAUGAGUAUUAUUAUCAGUUUUGCUAA